GGUGGCUUAGUGGUAGAGUACUUGCCUUGCAUGCAUGAGGCCUGGGUUCGAUUCCUCAGCACCA
rnacentral:tRNA from 1 species